rnacentral:rRNA from 1 species
UGUGUAGGCGGUUGCUUAAGUUUGGUGUGAAAUCUCCCGGCUCAACUGGGAGGGUGCGCCGAAUACUGAGUGACUAGAGUGCGGGAGAGGAGAGUGGAAUUCCUGGUGUAGCGGUGAAAUGCGUAGAUAUCAGGAGGAACACCGGUGGUGUAGACGGCUCUCUGGACCGUAACUGGCGCUGAGACACGAAAGCGUGGGUAGCAAACAGGAUUAGAUACCCUGGUAGUCCACGCCCUAAACGAUGCAUAUUUGGUGUGGGCAGUUCAGUCUGUCCGUGCCGGAGCUAACGCGUUAAAUAUGCCGCCUGGGGAGUACAGUCGCAAGGCUAGAA